UACGUAGGCAGCAAGCGUUGUUCGGAGUUACUGGGCGUAAAGGGUGUGUAGGCGGUUGGAUAAGUGUGGUGUGAAAUCUCCCGGCUCAACUGGGAGGGUGCGCUACAAACUGUCUGACUAGAGUGCAGGAUGGGAAAGUGGAAUUCCUGGUGUAGCGGUGAAAUGCGUAGAUAUCAGGAGGAACACCGGUGGUGUAGACGGCUUUCUGGACCGUAACUGACGCUGAUACACGAAAGCGUGGGUAGCAAACAGG
rnacentral:rRNA from 1 species